UUCUCAGAAAGAUCUGAAUCAUGAAGCUUGUUAAUUCAAAUACUGCAUGCUUAUAAUGUAAUUACAGUAGAUUGGAGUAAGGAUUAGAUCCAGCACUGAAGGACUUCAAGAAGUGGCUUAUUUCAUUAAUUAAAUCAAAUUAAGAAAUAUCGUUUUUAUAUUAAAAGCUACCUUUGUAAAACAUGGGUUUAUCCCAUCUAUUUAAUAAAUAAAAUCCGGUGUUUCUAAACUCUGAUAUUUUUCCUAACUCACGGUCCUGAUGAAAUU
rnacentral:lncRNA from 1 species